CGCGGUGUGAAAAAGGAGCGAAAUCACAAUCUGAAGCGGAAAAUAAACCUCCUGCUCUGAUCUGUAGCGUUAGCACUCUGCUGAAGCGGAACUCGGAUGAUUGUGAUGUUUUUGCAGAAUUGUGCAGAAUCUUCGCUUUCUCAGGGUGUUUAUGAGCGCGUGCAGGAGAGCAGCAGCAGCAGGAGAAGCAGCAGGAGAAGCUCUGAGAUGAUCUGAGAGGAUCUGAGAGGAGCUGAGAGGAGCUCCGAGGCCCACACUGCUGCUGCUGCUGCUGCUACAGAGGCCAUCUUGUUUAUGGCUAAAGCUAUCUGCUACAGCACCGACACAAACUUCAGCACUCUCAUUACCGCAUGCAACUUUUCCUCCUGAGGUUUUUGUUUUGUUUCUCGCUUUUACACGCGCACAUCUUUUCCUUCCUCCCCUUCCUCUGCUCAGGUGUGCAUUAAAAAAAAAACACAAACGGAUGCGUGAAAAGACAGAAACGGAAACGCAACAAUUUAUUGCAGUUAUUCUGAAUCUUAUGCAUGCAUGCACUCGGCCGCGCGCGCGACCCGACCGGAGGAGCACAAAAAAAAAAAAAAAAAAAAAAGAACAGAUGCAUGAAAACAAUGAAAGGAUGAAAGUUAUUUUUUUUAAAAAAAAUGCACGAGGGAGAAAGAGGUGAUGUGUGCACGCGCUUUUAUUUUACCUGCAGAUUCCCCGGUGCAUUGCUUUCUCUCUCUCUCUCUCUCUCUCUCUCUCGCGCGCGCGGGCUCGUCGCUCAGCCCCGGAGCCGCCACGUCCGCGAGCAGCCUCUCUCUCUCUCUCUCUCUCUCUCUCCUCGCGCCUGCCUCCUUCUUCUUCUUCUUCUUCUGCUCCUCCUUUCUCCCCCGUUUCCGCGGCUCGCGCUCGCUUCUCCCAGUCGAGUCGGUGGAACGGCAGUGCGCGCGCGCAGCAGCAGCCACAUCAGGAACAGCAGCAGAAACAGCGGCAGCGCGCGCGCGGCGUCAUGGUGGCCUACUUCCGACCAAAUGUGGGUUUUUGUGUGUGUGUGUGUGUGUGUGUGUGUCUGGUCGAGACAGAGCUUCAGAGCGCGUUUACUUUUACAAACCAAGUCACUGCAAACUGACACAUUCACCGCGAAGCGAUUUGUGCACGGUGUGAAACAGCGCGCGCGUUGCGUGUGCCGCUAUAAAUCACUAGUGCACUGGAUACAGGAUUCUGUGCAUCGCAUUAGACGCGUGUUUUAUAGCUGCUGUGUGCUGUGUGCUGUGUGCAUGCACAGGAGUGAUGUAUUAUUUAUCUGUUGAUGUGUGCGCUGUUUAAAUGACCUACAUGUGAAAUGAUGCAUGUGUCACUUUCCUUCUCUUCUCACAGAUUUUCUUUAAAAUGUUUCAGUGCAUCACUUGUAUUGAGUUCACGUGCACGAAUCACUAAUGCAUUGCAUAAAGUAGGUGUGUUUACCUACAAUAAUUUAUAUAUACACACAUACACACACAUACACACACACACACAGUGGGGUCCAAAAGUCUGAGUGAAGAAGCUUCUAUUUUGUGUCCUUUUCUAAUUUAAUACAACAAUUUUCAUUACACAUUAUAUUCCAGACAACAGCUUGAGUGAAAAGUACAAUCUCUGAAAUAUUUACACGAGUUUCAGAGUUUCUUAGACUUCAGUUCGUCUCCUUUUUUGCUUUAAUGAGAGUGUGACUCGAGCUGGCGUCUGAUCUCACGCUUCAGUAGGAGAGAUUAGACAUGAGGAAAAUCUGACCUUCUGUACAAAGCAGUUAACCUUCGCGAUAUCACACGUUUACUUACAUUUAAACAGGGACGUAAAAAUAGUGCAGAAUCCUGAAUAUUAUAUAUUUAAGAUCUAGAAACAGUGCAGAAGCUUCAGUAGUAAAUAUUCAACAUACUGAACAUUUAUUUUGUUGGUUUGAAAUAUUCCAAAUUUAUAAAAGCUUCUGUUUAUUUCAAGUUUUAAAUGAAAAUAAAAAAAGAAAGACAUAUUUUCAAUGUGGUCUCAGACGUUUGGACCCCACUGUGUGUGUGCGUGUGUGUGUGUGUGUGUGUGUGUGUGUGUGUGUGUGGCUCAGGCCUCCAUGUAGCUUGAAAUAGCUUAAAAUGUUCCAAACAUUGCCUGAAUGAUGCCUCUAAAAUAAUCCUGCUAUAAUUUCGUGUAUGAGGAACAGACUGAGCUACAGGAGGAAAAAUCUAAACCUGGUAACAGUAACGUUCACAGUGCAGGCUGCUGUUCAUGCACAACGUGUGUUUCAUGGCUUUUAUUCAUCGUCACUGUAGAAACCGAGCCAGUAGAUUUCCGGUACAGAAGGUACGACAGAACGGCGGCAGAGCUGUUAGCUUACAGCAGAGGUGUUUAAUCUUUCUGGAAAAGUGCAGGUUUUCACUCCAACCAAGCAGAAGCCACACCUGAGUCUAGUGAAAGCCAACAACACCUGAUUAAACAGGUGGAAUCAGGUGUGGCUCCUGCUCGACUGGGAAUGAAAACCUGCACACACACACACACACACACACACACACCAGCACUGUGAGGAUAAGAUUGGACAGCGUGGUUUACAGUAAUAGCAUAUUGUUCUGUAAUUUAAUAGAACUGCAUGCAGCACCAUGCUGCUGUUUAACUUCUUCAUCGUCAGAUUCGCAGUUCUGUGCACAAGCCCUAACGUUAAACACGAACUUAGGUGACUUAGAUGUUUAUUUUCUGACAUCUGCAUUACUGAGUCUGUAAAAUAUUUUACAUUUCCAAACAUUACUUUUCAAACAAAAAAUGAAAUGUUACAAAAAAGAAGGUAAUGUUACGUAAUACACCACUUUCUGCAAAAACAACCAGUUUCCUUAUAAACCUUAUAGACCACUGCUAUCUUUUUAAAAGCAAAGUGAUUUCACACUAAACGACUUCGUUUAGUUUAUUAGUUUACUGGUCUUUAGAGACUGUAUUUGUAUGCAGCAUUUCUUUGCACAGUAGUGAACGUCUCACAUAAACAAAACAAUCCUAACAGAAAUAUCUGCUAAAAUGGAUUUAUUAAAGCGAUCGUUUUAUUUCACUAGCUUUUCCGAGUGACUAGCGAACUUUGCUAGCUAAGAAUGUAUUUGAAUGUAUGGGCUAGCUACUAGCUAACUGUGUUAUCAUUAACUCAUAUUAGCUGUUGUCCAGUUUUCAAUGGUUAUAAUCUGUAUUUAAUAAUAAUUUAUAUUAAAGUAGUUACUUUUAUCAAAAGUUAGGAUAGAAAAUAACGAGCGCCUCAAAAGGAAAAGCCUCUAGGCAGCGUUCCCGGGAUAGAGUCCGGAUCCGGCGCAACCCUGAGCAGGACGCAGGACGCUUACUGAAGCUGAAUGAAGGAAAAACAUGAAAACUGGUAUUCUUACUACAGAUCUUUUCCUCCGUUAUUCCACACCGCACAGGAAGUUCAUCAACUCACACCUUCAGCUCCUAACUGGACAGAGAGAGAGACUCGCGAGCUGAUAGAUCUGGAGCAUUUUUGUAAGGAAAUGUGGAAUAAAAUGACCAAAUGAAGAAGAUCGGUCGACUCGUACCCAAAACCACUGAGUGCUGCUUUACAUUCAGAAAGUGCUUUAACAAUGUAUUAGUUAAGGGGUGUACAAACUUUUGCAGCCAUGUUAUUGUAAGUUGUUUUCUUUUUCUUCUUGUUCAUUUCCCUGAAACAUUUAUAUUCGUUUUUCACUUGUAUGUUGUUGGUUUCUGUAUCACAUUAAACCUGGAAACAGAUCGGACAUGAUUUAUCUUAAUUUAAUUAUUUUUACAUCACAAAACCCUGCAGUUUUAACAGGGGUGUGUAAACUUUUUACAUCCGCUGGAUAUAGAAACACACUGAGAAAAAAGGCAAUAAUCUGGACCUCUGUAUUACACAACGCUUCAGCUGUAGUACGGUUAUACUCAUCUCUUCCCUGAACGUGUGAAUAAAGGAUUGUCCCUUGAACUCUGUUUAACCUUUUUUAUUAUAAAUCUUAAAAAUUUCA